UCAAGCGUUGUUCGGAUUCAUUGGGCGUAAAGGGUGUGUAGGUGGCGCGCUAAGUCGGGUGUGAAAUUUCGGAGCUUAACUCCGAAACUGCAUUCGAUACUGGCGUGCUUGAGGACUGGAGAGGAGACUGGAAUUCAUGGUGUAGCAGUGAAAUGCGUAGAGAUCAUGAGGAAGACCAGUGGCGAAGGCGGGUCUCUGGACAGUUCCUGACACUGAGACACGAAGGCCAGGGGAGCAAACGGG
rnacentral:rRNA from 1 species